ensembl:rRNA 5S_rRNA 5S ribosomal RNA
UUCAAAAACUUUUGACUGGUAGUGUGUAUUAAAAUGUUUAAUAAUUCGUUCAGCCUGGUCAGUACCUGGAUGGGAGGCCUCCUGGGAAAACUAGGUUGCUUUUGGAA